UAUAAGGAAACCUGCACAGACGUUAUCCUACUGCCAUGGUUGGAUCUAAGUGGAACAGCAACGACCAGAGAAACACUGGUGUUUUCAUACUGUAUGAAAGACUGAGCACACACUCCUAAACAUGAACCUGACUGAUUGUGAUGAUGCCUUCAUGAAACAGAAAGAGCUCCUCUUCCUCCCACCUGCUUUGUUGGACUUCCAGAUCCAGAGAUGCUUCAUUCCUGCCCCUCCCCAUCUCUGCAACCACUAGCAGUUUCUGCGCAAGCCAAUUAAUUGAAGUCCAAAGAUUGCAGAGACGCUCCACCCGAGACUUCAGUGCCUUACUUUUCCAACAACGCCCCCUAAUACGACGUCCAAUGUGCUCUUUUACUGUGUACUUUAAGCCUCCGCACUGUUUUAUAAUAAAUGAACUAUUGUCUGCAACCACCUGAUCAGUAAUUUGAGACCAGAAUAAUUAGUAUAAAACAGA